rnacentral:rRNA from 1 species
UACGAGGGGGGCUAAUGUUGUUCGGAAUCACUGGGCUUAAAGCGUGUGUAGGCGGGUCGUUAAGUGUCUUGUGAAAUCCCACCGCUCAACGGUGGAACCGCUGGGCAUACUGGCGAUCUUGAGGCAUUCAGGGGCGAGCGGAACAAAUGGUGGAGCGGUGAAAUGCGUAGAUAUCAUUUGGAACGCCAAUGGUGAAAACAGCUCGCUGGGAAUGAUCUGACGCUGAUGCGCGAAAGCCAGGGGAGCGAACGGG